rnacentral:rRNA from 1 species
AAAGCUGGCCAUGCCAUCCUGGACAAGCCCAAUGCUGUGUGAUCGCAGAAGCUAAGCAGGGUCGGACCUGGUUAGUACUUAGAUGGGAGACUACCUAGGAAGACCAGACGCUGUAGGUG